CGCAGCAGUAGCACACAGCAGAAUGAUGUUCGACAUGGCUGCUGUGUUUGAACCCAGGAGAAGCAAAAUCAGUGGGAUGCGGUUAUGUUUCAGGGUAUGUAUGUAUUACUACUUUAUUUGCAGUUAUCUAAUCUUAUUUAGACAUAGUUGGCAUUUU